UCCGGUUUAACACCGGCAGUCCCUCUAGAGAAUUCAACUAAGGACAAGGGUUGCGCUCGUUGCGGGACUUAACCCAACACCUCACGGCACGAGCUGACGACAGCCAUGCAGCAUCUGUGCAUGCUCCCUCGCGGGUCCCUUGGCUUACACCUCGGUACCACAUGCAUGUCAAGCCUAGGUAAGGUUCUUCGCGUUGCGUCGAAUUAAACCACAUGCUCCACCGCUUGUGCGGGCCCCCGUCAAUUCCUUUGAGUUUCAACCUUGCGGUCGUACUCCCCAGGCGGGGUACUUCCUGCGUUAGCGCCGGCACCCAGAGGGUCGCUCCCCCAGGCACCUAGUACCCAUCGUUUACGGCGUGGACUAC
rnacentral:misc_RNA from 1 species